rnacentral:rRNA from 1 species
ACGGAAGGCAGCAGUGGGGGAUAUUGCACAAUGGGGGAAACCCUGAUGCAGCGACGCCGCGUGAGUGAUGAAGUAUUUCGGUAUGUAAAGCUCUAUCAGCAGGAAAGAUAAUGACGGUACCUGACUAAGAAGCACCGGCUAAAUACGUGCCAGCAGCCGCGGUAAUACGUAUGGUGCAAGCGUUAUCCGGAUUUACUGGGUGUAAAGGGAGCGCAGACGGCAAAGCAAGUCUGAAGUGAAAGCCCGGGGCUCAACCCCGGGACUGCUUUGGAAACUGUUUAGCUAGAGUACUGGAGAGGUAAGCGGAAUUCCUAGUGUAGCGGUGAAAUGCGUAGAUAUUAGGAAGAACACCAGUGGCGAAGGCGGCUUACUGGACAGCAACUGACGUUGAGGCUCGAAAGCGUGGGGAGCAAACAGGAUUAGAUACCCUGGUA